rnacentral:lncRNA from 1 species
GUUUUCAAAAGAGGAAUUUAAAUUUGCAAAGAUGGAAAUGAUUGUAGUGAAUAUUCUUGCCGAUGUUUUAUAUAAUCUUCUUAAACAACACAAACAAAAUGUGAAGCCUAGGAGUGAAUGUGAUAUAACGUACUUGUCAAAAGAGCUAUGGAGUCUUAAUAAACAUAUUCCGAGUAAUUCAGGUGGCCGCAAAUAUCCUUGGGCAAAGACAUUGUAUGAUAUAAAGAAUACUGAUACAUCUACUUGAGAUGACAUAGAGCGCAUACGACUUACCAGGAUUGGACUUCAACACUCUACGACAUAUGAACUUGAAGAUAAGCGUUACACUGACCUGUGUCAUAUUAUAGAGGAUCUUUUAAAACGAUUUGAUAAACGCAACAAUCCAAGGAAGCUGUAUUCAAAACGACUCAAUGAUGUUUUAGCCAGAACAAUUGCAAAUGAGGAAGUGAAUGACAUUCAUCAUCAAAUUGAAAAUGAAAUUAAAACACAGUCGGGUAAGAUUGAUUUGAAAAUCACAUGAGUUCAUCAUCCAUGCUCUACUUUUCAUGAUUUUUGCACAGUCAUUUAUUAAAUCUAUAGUUAUCAAAACAGGUAUUUAUAAAAUGAUUAAAGCUUUGUACGCAAAUAAAAAACUCAUACAUAUUUUACUUUUAUUUUAUAGAGGUCUAAAUGAUAUAAGUUUUAUAUGAGUAAAUAAACUCAUUAUAAAGACCAGGAAUAAAAUUUAGUAUUACCGCUUGACGUGCGUUUCGUCUACAAAAGACUCACUAGUUACGAUCGAAUUAAGAAAAGUAAAGAAUGCAAAAUCACUGGGCUGGUGAUACCAACAGAGGAAUAAAACUCCACUAGCAGUGUCAUCGACCCAGUGGUUGUAAAUAAACUCAUCAUGAAUAUCAGGAUUGAAAUUUUGUAUUGACGCAAGAAGCGCGUAUCGUCUACAAUUGACUCUUCAGUGACGCUCGAUUAAAAAAAGAUAUAUUCAAACCUCAAACUGUACAUAGCAUCUGUACAUGAUUUUGUGUUUUGUAUACUAUUGUUUGCUUUUUUAUCGUUUUUCGUGUUUUGCCGUGACAUUGUUAGUUUAUUUCCUCUUAUAAGUUAUCCUUUCAGUAUACAUUUGUACUAGUACAACGUGCAUUAUUUUGACGUAUUUCUGUGUAAAACAGUAAGGGACCAUGAAUUGAUUAAAAAAAUAUGUUCAUUGAAAUGUUAACAAAAAACUGAACAGUAUCUUCUUGUGAAGAUGACAACAUACCGAGUAUUGUAAGCACACCAAUAUUAUUUAGUAUACUUUAUGAAACGAGAAUAAAAAUUACAAAAACAUGAAAAAGUUAUCAGGUACCAGGUUUAUAAUUUAAUGAGCCUGUUAUUGUUAUAUUUAUAAAUUAACUAUUUAUAAAAUUUUCAAUGUGUGAAAAAACUUUUUACCUUAGGCAUAGAUUACCUAAGCUGUAUUUGGCAUAACUUUUAGGAAUUUUGGUCCUUAAUGCUCUUUAAAUUCCUACUUUAUUUGGCCUUUUUAACUUUUUUGAAUUCGAGCGUCACUGAUGAGUCUUUUGCAGACGAAACGCGCGUCUGGCGUAUAUACAAAUUUUAGUCCUUGUAUCUAUGAUGAGUUUAUCUACAUAAGACUCAUCAGUGACGAUCCGAUCAACAAAAUUGGAAAGCCAAACAAGUAAAACGUUGGAGAGCAUUGAUGACUCAAAAUACCAAAAACUGUGCCAAAAGAAUGUUGUACAAAGAGUUGUCUCAAUGGUCGUUUAUCAUGCAGAAAGAAUUGCACUCUCCUAGUGUGGCUACUAGUUUUCAUUAGGGUGAUUUCUUAUAAAGUAAAAACUGCAAUACAGUAACAAAUAUGAAUGUAGAAGUAUACGAGUACAUACAAAAUAUUUUCAAUCAGAAAAAACACAUCCAGUAAAUAAGAAAGAACCUAGGGGCUGUUCUAAUGUACCAUUGAAAUUAGAAUUGACCUGAUUGAUCUUUCUUGUUACCAUGAUUCUGUAUUUUAAUUGUGUUUUUUAAGAAAAAAAGUUUUGUUAUAAUUAUUAUGCAAUGAUGGUUUCAUUUAAUUUCAGAACUGGAACUUGUUGUGGAAGUUAAACACACGAA